rnacentral:lncRNA from 7 species
GGGAAGCUGUAAGCAGUCGCCGAAAGGUCUUGGUCUAGCAGAUAUCAUCAUGUUCCCUCGGUCACUACACUAUGGAAUGCUCAAGAGUGAUCCGGCACAGGCCAUGUUCCAAGUGAUGCCAUUCCUCCUCUUGCUGAUCCACUAGGCGCUAGGGUUUCCUUUUGGCAUAGUUUGUGUCCCAAGUUUUUUUUCAGUCUUCCUUUUAUUCUGUGUUCAUUAUGUAUGUACUUGUGUUGGCCUGUGCGCAGGUAGCUGCAGCGGUUGUUUUCUUUGUUUUUAGUGUUCUUAUGAGUAUGUACACUAGACGUUGGGCUAAUUUCUUCCGAGAGCAUGUACCUGGCGUUGUGGACGUAAUAAUGUAGUAUGCCAUCGAUCGUACAAACAUAUAUACGUAACAAACACUCUUU